UCCCUGGUGGUCCAGUGGUGAAGGUCCUGAAGUUCCACUGCAGGGGGCACAGGUUCAAUCCCUGAUCAGGGAA
rfam:Ovis aries breed Texel Tnplaced_Contig3457_fixed, whole genome shotgun sequence.